rnacentral:rRNA from 1 species
AUUGAACGCUGGCGGCAGGCCUAACACAUGCAAGUCGAGCGGAUGAAGGGAGCUUGCUCCUGGAUUCAGCGGCGGACGGGUGAGUAAUGCCUAGGAAUCUGCCUGGUAGUGGGGUAUAACGUCCGGAAACGGGCGCUAAUACCGCAUACGUCCUGAGGGAGCAAGUUGGGGAUCUUCGGACCUCACGCUAUCAGAUGAGCCUAGGUCGGAUUAGCUAGUUGGUGGGUUAAAGGCCUACCAAGGCGACGAUCCGUAACUGGUCUGAGAGGAUGACCAGUCACACGGGAACUGAGACACGGUCAAGACUCCUACGGGAGGCAGCAGUGGGGAAUAUUGGACAAUGGGCGAAAGCAUGAUCCAGCCAUGCCGCGUGUGUGAAGAAGGUCUUCGGAGUGUAAAGCACUUUAAGUGGGGAGGAAGGGCAGUAAGUUAAGACCUUGCUGUUUUGACGUUACCAACAGAAUAAGCACCGGCUAACUUCGUG